CAUCCAUCCAUCCAUCCAUCUAUCUAUCUAUCUAUCUAUCUAUCUAUCUAUCUAUCUGGCAUGUGAGUAUGAGGAAGGUCUGAGGGCAACGGUCGGGAGCUGGGUCUCUUCCCACCUUGCUGAGGCAGGCUUUCUCAUGUUCCUGCCAUCCUUGCACUCUAGGCUUAUAGCUGCCAUCUCUUAGGGGUGCUGGGAUCACACACGCAUGCCACUGUAUCAGGCUUUUUUUUUUUUUUUUUCUGGUUCUUUUUUUCGGAGCUGGGGACCGAACCCAGGGCCUUGCGCUUCCUAGGCAAGCGCUCUACCACUGAGCUAAAUCCCCAACCCCUGUAUCAGGCUUUUUUAUGUGAGUCCCUGGGACCAAAUUCCAGUGCUUGGACUUGUGCUGCAGGCCUCUUACCUGUGGAGGCAUCUGGACACCCCUUUGCCUUUACUUUAAACGCCACACUUAAAAGCCUGUUAAGUGGCAUGGGCGGGCCCUUCUGGUCUGGCUGCAGGGGGAUUAAACAGAGAAGUACUUGGAAGAGCUUAACACUGGGCUUGGCCUGCAUCCGUGGCCUUGAGCGCUUGCUGAAUUGGCAGCAACGGAUUUGUGAGGGCGAACUUGGGACAGGGCCACCAAAUUAGACCCUGAGCUCCUGGGGCUGUGCUACCAGUAGCCACAAAACAGUUUGGCUAUGCUGGAGACGCCAGUCUCCGUGGCGUGAGGAUGGGGCUGGCUGCCCGCCUGGCCCAGAAGCCAGCAGAGGUCCAGCUGUUGCAUCAUUAGGCUCUGACUAUUCCACUAAACUUUCUCAACUGGAGCUGGUGUGCAGGGCAGAGCAGCCUUUCCCAGGGAGCAUGCAGGAGAGUGCCAGCGUCUCCAUGGCAACACAGCCAAGUGGCUCUGCUGAAGUUCCUCAGGCUUCCUGUGUCACAUCAGGAGCAUUUUUCAAGAUUAAGCGCUUACCAGAAGGGUUCAGAGGAGGCCUAUUAUAUUUCAUAAAAAUGGAAACGACAGAGCAGGUUGGAUCGCCAGCCGGGUGGUUUUAAACUGGGUCCAAGAAAAACACUGAAGGGGUCUUUAGCUGGGCCAAACUAGGGCCGUGGUGUUUAGUGAUGCCUCAGAGCAAUCUUCUGCAGGAAGGAUAAAAGCCAGAAACAAGUUUAGUGACCCGGCGCGAGGCUCAGGCUUGCAUAGCUGAGAGAGGGGUGAAGGGUGUCCUGAGGACCGGGCACCAAUGGAAGGGUGUCUCCAGGAGGGGAUGUAGCCCAGUGCGAGGCCCUGGCUGUGGCAGGGACCUCUCAGGGUCUGGCUACUGGCCUCUGCUCUUGGCUGGCUCACCCAGUCCCUGUGCCAUUCAGGAAGGCUCAGGGCUCAACCUGGGCAGAGAACAUAGGCAGAGGCACAGGCUGUCCGUGACAGCAGAGUGUGCAGUGUGCAGUGUGCACAGAAUAUGGCAAUGACAGGGGACUAUGGCCAACUCCAUCACCAUGAGGAAAAAACCAAGGUCACAUGUGGUGGCACUAUACCAGGAAGGUAUAGCAUGGAGUUCUCUGAGUCUGGUGGCAGUCUGAUCUGUGUAGUUAGUGCCAAGCUGGCCAGAGCUAUGUGACUUGAGGAGAAUCAUUAAGCCUGGGUGGCACAUGCUUUAAUCUUAGCUCUCAGGAGGCAGAGGCAGGUGGAUCUCUGUAAGGAGAGGGCCGGGUUGGUGCACAAAGCUAGUUCCAGGCCAGCAGGGCUGCAUCGUGAGACCUCGUCUCAAACAAACAGCUACACGUAGCUGAGGGCAGCUCGUGUGCCCAGAAGCUGAAGGAUUUCAGGUUGGGAUGGGAGAGGAGGAGAGGAGGAUCAUGCAUAAACUUACACUUUCUGGGAUGCAGGAAAACUUCUCUGAAAUCAUAAAAGGCACACCGUCCAUUGCUGCAAGAGAAGAGAGGAGAGGGAGGCGCUGAAGACACUGCUGCUGACCAAGAAGCUAAGACAUCAGUACAGAGAGCACUGGUGGGCUGGAGGCAGGUGCUACCCAGCUCGAGCGUCUGGGAGCUGCAGAGUGGGACAGGGUGACAUCCUGACCCAGGGACGCAGACUGCCUGUGUGGUGCCUCUGUGUGUAGGCAGUCAGUCAGGGGCGUAGCCCAGGGCUGGCACGGAAGCCCUUUCCUGCUCGGGUCUAGGAGUCUGACCUAUAUCGUAAAUGGUCGAGCCACAGAUCCCGAGUGGUGUUUGGUGCUCAUCCAUCUCCAUGGAAAGACAAGGAGUUUGGCGGUCAGGUGGCCAUGCCUGAGUCCUGGCUGGGCUUGCAGUGAGCACAUGAAGGCAUGGACAAAAGAAGCUUGGCUAAUGGCUGGGAGGUGUGCUCUGAGUCUUCAGGGAACGUGCCCUGGGCCUGAAGAGUGGGCUCAGUGUGUGUGUGGGCGGGGAGGGGGUAGGCUGUGACAUAUGCUCAGUUACUCAUUCUCUGUCAUGGCUUCAGGGCUGAAUUAAGACUUGCCCUGUGUGCUUACUUUCCACAUGAGAAAGGAUGAGGAACAAGCAGCCUGUGAGUGAGAAGGGCAGGGACUGGGAAGCCCUUUCUGUCCUGUACCACACCCUCCGAAAUCUACUUGUGUUUAGAUCUCCACAGCUAAACUGGUAGCAAUAUUGCCACAGAGGAGGAACAUGUGAUGUCGGCCCUCACAGUGUUACCUGUGAACUGAGAAUUAGGCCGGCUGCUGACUGAGCUGAGGCAAAAUUCAGCCGACAGACCUGGCCCUUAGUGUAGGGACCUGUGGCCUGCAGUAAGAGGUGGUUUUGGCAGACCGUGAUUUUGGAAUGGACAUUGUGCCUCUCCCUAAAUGUUUCCUAAAAUGAAGACUUCCUUGGUAUUCAAAUGCUGGGGGCAGCUUUCGGGGCCAAGGAAGAGGAGAGCAGAAGUGGAAAAAAGGAAGGGAUAAAAUCCGGUCUGGUGUCUGCUGUGAUAGGCCACACAGUGUGGGUUAGGCUGUGUCUGUAAUGACCCAUAAUUACUGCAGAGAAGUGGGCUAGACUGCACCUCAAGCCCCCUUCCUCUCUGCAGGCCACUUCCUGUGAACUUUUCAGGUUCAACAAACACCUGUGUCAGGGGCAUUUCCCACUGCAGCUGGACCCCCAGAGCCCAGAAGAGAAGGCUAAUGUCACAUGCUGUGUUCGACAUUAACCGAGAAAGGAGGGAGAAUGUCCCAAAUAGUUUUAUGGGCCUAUAUUCCAACAUCCGAGCACCACCUGAGAACCUGCCACAACAGACAGAGUACCACAGAUAGUACCACAGGCUUGUCAGAGAGGGAGGGAGGCAGGAUCCAUCAGCAUGCAGGGAGAGGCCACACCAGCUCCUGCCACUGACCAUCCAAUGUGAGCUCUAAGCUUCUGUUCACUCACAUGGCUCUCGUGUGCUUUGACCUCAAAUGCUUGCAGGGCCUCAUGUCAUUUCUGAUCACUUUGAGGUGACCAAGCAGAGCUCCAGAGUUUGGAGCCUCCUGGGGUCAGGUGGGCAGGAGGCAGUGACUUGGAAGCUUGGGCUCACGAGGCUUGGACAUGGACCACAGAAUUUCACCUGCACGCGGGUAAGGGAGCAUGCAGAGCGAGCGGAGCUUCUCCUUACCCACUUCUACAGUGAAAUUCUCACCUGCAGCCUUGUGGGAGCUCUGCGGCCUACUGGCUCACAGAGGGGAGAGUAUGUCAUGUUGUAAGGAACAUAAGACUACAGGGUGGUGGCCACCAGGAUGGUGUUAGUGGCAGAUAUGCUCCUGUCUGCACUGGCGGCAGAGAUGGGAGCCCCUUGUGUCCAGUCCUGACUGCAAGGAGUCAUUUGGUAAAGUGACUGAGGGGACUUACCAUAGGAGGCUGAGAAGUCUCACACAGCUCACUCACGUGCACUACAGGACAGAUCUUAGCCAUCUGGUAGAGUCAACAGGGAAGAGGCCCAAGAGGAUCAGCACAGGUCACACUGAUGUGACCUCCAGGUCAUACUAACUGACCAAAUUUCAUUGUAAAAAUCUAGUGUGUGUGUGUGUGUGUAUGUGUGUGUGUGUGUGUGGUGAGGGGUAGGGGGCUGGAGAGAUGGCUCAGAGGUUAAGAGCGCUGGCUUCUCUUGCAGAGGACACUGUUCCACUGCAAUACGAUAGCCCACAACUAUCUUUAACUCCGGUUCCAGAGGACCGGCACCCUCUUCUGGCUUCGAGGAAUACUGUAUGUAUGUGGUACAAAGACAGGCAUGCAGGUAAAACAUCCACACGCACAGAGGAGACAAACCCCUUCAAAAAUCUAGCAGAGGUGACUGAGAUGGCUCAGUGUGUAAAGGUGCGUGCUACACAAAUGUGACAACUUGAGUUUGAGCCCUGCAAUCGCACGAAGGCGGAAAGAGGGAAAUGACACCACAAAGUUGUCACCGGGCUUCCACAAGUGGCACACAUGCCCCACUUCCAUAUGACAAAGCCUAGGCACUGGAGAAGCAGACUAAGCAUGAAGUGGGUCAGGACAUCACCUGACAUCUGAAAAGAAACCUAUGGGAUAGUUAACUGACGUGUCGGGGGAGACCUAGCAGGAAUGGUCAUUAACUGGCUAACGGCAGAAUCUGAUGAAGGGCUCAGAAUGCUGGCAUCUGGGCCACACCAGAGCAGGGAACUUGCCAGGGUCCAGCUGAACAGGUGAGUGCAUAGUAACAGUAGGGUACUGGAUCACCGCCGGUUGCACACAUCACUGUGACUUGACUACUGAACAGGAAAGGUGCCUCUCUCAAGGUCACGGUGCCACUUGGUCUGCUCUGAGCUUGAGAAUGACACCCAGUGCUAGCAUGGUAUUCUCCCAUGAUCAUCCUGAGAGCCUCGAUAGGACAUCAGGGGACCCUAAGUUAACUCCGUAAGGAAAUGGAGAGGCCGAGUCAGGGCUGCUGCCUCUGGAGGUGGGACCCUCCACCAACCCAGCACUGCAUUUGACACAUGGGAAACAGGCAGAAUGGGCGCUUCUGUCUAGAUGAGAGAAGGCCAGGGUGGGCGAAGGCCCGUAUCUGCUAGGAAGCCACAGCUAUAGGGAGAAGGGCUGCCCAGACACACGGUUCAGGGGGCCCCACAGAUACACUGGGCAGAGCCCACAGGCAGGGCUGUUUGCUUGCUGGGAGACUGGGUAGGGUCUCUGCUUUGCAGCGUAUAGCUGUAGGAGGUAAGGCCCUUUCUGAUUCAACAGCAUCCACUCCUAGGAGCCCUAACUGGACGGCCUUCCAUAUAUGACAAUAUUUGGAGGCCUGGCAAACAUAAUCCUUAAAAUGAUGGCACCCAUUUUUCAUGUGAACCCCAAGACUGCUCAUAAAUCAUCCCUGUCCUCCCUCUCCCGGGAGCCCUGCCCCCUCUC